rnacentral:tRNA from 2 species
GGAGAGCUGCCGGAGUGGUCGAUCGGGGCAGACUCGAAAUCUGUUGUCCGCCAGCCGGCGGACCGGGGGUUCGAAUCCCUCGCUCUCCG